UACGGAGGGGGCUAGCGUUAUUCGGAAUUAUUGGGCGUAAAGGGCGCGUAGGCGGCCCGGUAAGUCAAAGGUGAAAUCCCUCGGCUCAACUGAGGAACUGCCUUUGAAACUGUCGGGCUUGAGGCCGGGAGGGGGUAGCGGAAUUCCCAGUGUAGCGGUGAAAUGCGUAGAUAUUGGGAGGAACACCGGUGGCGAAGGCGGCUACCUGGACCGGUUCUGACGCUGAUGCGCGAAAGCGUGGGUAGCAAACGGG
rnacentral:rRNA from 1 species